rnacentral:rRNA from 1 species
CCUACGGGUGGCAGCAGUGGGGAAUAUUGCGCAAUGGGCGAAAGCCUGACGCAGCGACGCCGCGUGAGGGAUGAAGGUCUUCGGAUCGUAAACCUCUGUCAGCAGGGAAGAACGGUCACUGUGCUAAUCAGCAGUGAAUUGACGGUACCUGCAAAGGAAGCACCGGCUAACUCCGUGCCAGCAGCCGCGGUAAUACGGAGGGUGCGAGCGUUAAUCGGAAUUACUGGGCGUAAAGCGCUCGUAGGCGGUAUGUCAAGUCAAGGGUGAAAUCCCCGCGCUCAACGUGGGAACUGCCUUUGAAACUGGCAGACUGGAGUGUGUGAGAGGAUAGUGGAAUUCCAGGUGUAGGAGUGAAAUCCGUAGAUAUCUGGAGGAACAUCAGUGGCGAAGGCGACUAUCUGGCACAUAACUGACGCUGAGGCUCGAAAGCAUGGGUAGCGAACAGGAUUAGAUACCCUAGUAGUC